rnacentral:rRNA from 1 species
UACGGAGGGUGCAAGCGUUAUCCGGAUUCACUGGGUUUAAAGGAAGCGUAGGAGGACAGGUAAGUCAGUGGUGAAAUCUCCGAGCUUAACUUGGAAACUGCCGUUGAUACUAUCUGCCUUGAAUAUUGUGGAGGUGAGCGGAAUAUGUCAUGUAGCGGUGAAAUGCUUAGAUAUGACAUAGAGCACCAAUUGCGAAGGCAGCUCGCUACACAUAUAUUGACUCUGAGGCACGAAAGCGUGGGGAUCAAACAGG